CCCUACGGGAGGCAGCAGUGGGGGAUAUUGCACAAUGGGGGAAACCCUGAUGCAGCGACGCCGCGUGUGGGAAGACGGUCCUCUGGAUUGUAAACCACUGUCCCCAGGGACGAAGAUGACGGUACCUGGGGAGGAAGCUCCGGCUAACUACGUGCCAGCAGCCGCGGUAAUACGUAGGGAGCGAGCGUUGUCCGGAAUUACUGGGUGUAAAGGGAGCGCAGGCGGGAAGCCAAGUCAGCUGUGAAAACUACGGGCUUAAAUUGUAGACUGCAGUUGAAAAUGGUUUUCUUGAGUGAAGUAGAGGG
rnacentral:rRNA from 1 species